UUUAAAUAUUAUUUUAUUUCAGCAUUUAAUGAAGCAGCUAAUGAUAGAGAAUAAGAAAUCUUAAGGCAUAUGAAUUUAAAUGUUGGCUAUAAAACAAGAGAAAAUAUUUAGGCAUAAAAAAACCAUGAGGGUAAAUUUCUUAUUCUUCUCUUUGAGCUUUAAAAUGUAAGGCAGUUUGAAUACCAUUUCUUGGGGUUUUAGGGGACCCCAAUAAAACCACCUCUUUUAUAAGGAUAGACUAAGAGAUCAGCUAGAUGGACAGCAAAAUGCAGCUUCAUUACUAAUAAAAAUCUGGUCUGAAGAAUGCACUUAGACAUGCAGCCAAAGUCACCUUCCUAACACUUGGCUAUGACGGCCACACUUACUCUUCCUGGCGUGAGCACGUGUGACAACGCACAACUCCCUCCUGAUCAGGACGUUUGCAACACGAUAGAUAGACCUGAAGGCAGGGCCCUUGGAUAGAUGGCUCCAGAAGGAGAGAGAAAGAGGACAAGGCUGAAGUAAGCUUUCUCAGUGACUUCUCCCACAUCCACCAAUGAGAUCACCACCAGAUUCUUCUCCAACAGGGAGGGGUAAGUCGGAUGGAAAGGAAGACCGAAGGGUUUCUCUAUAGCUGAAGCCUACACACCUGGAAACAGGAGGAACGAAGGAUGUACCUCCCCCACCAAGAACACACUUUACUCAUCACCCGUGUGUGAUCUGUUAUGUUAAUAGCAGUUAUGCCAUGUGUUUCAAAAUGUGUGUGUUGGCGGGAAGAGGGGAAUGGGGAUUAUUAAAUUUCAAAAUUUCCGCCUCCAUUUUUCAGAUAAUUACACAGGAAGUUGCAAAUCAGAGACUCAUCUAUUAUUGGCGCGCACGCUGCUGUGAAUUGCCGUUGGUGCGUUGAGGGCCCAGCCUCAGGGAGGAGAGAGGAAACGCGGCGGCGCUGGCCCUGACGAGCAGAGGCCCGCACGUUGGUGGGCCCUCCGCCUCUGCGGAAGGCGGCUCCGCUGCCACGCGCUGGGCAGGCAGCAGGCGGGGGGCGUCUGCUCCGUCCGUCGUCUCCCUCGAGCUUGGGAGGCAUUGGACCAGGCGCCAGGGUGGGGCAUCUAAAGACAGCAGAUCCCGUUCUCUGCCCUCAGGAGCUGGGAAUUUGACGGAGAGGGAGACCUCGCUCCGCAGACUGGGUUUCCCCCCUACAGUCAGAAGUGUUCAUCUCAGUUGAGAAACAUGGAACAGAAAAGCAGAAAAAAAAAGACCUUUUAAGUUCUCCAAACUUAAUCUUUGAAUUGGAAAAGUUUAGGUCUAAAAGGACUCAGGAAAUAUAAAAUCCACGGUGCGAUAAAGAAAGUCUUCCUCUUCGUCUACACUGAAAAGCAUUCCCCAGGACAAAGGGGAAAGAAGAGAGAGCCAGGGAGAACAGAUCAUUUUCUGCUGACAGAUCCCAUGGGAAGGGUUCUGCCGUGUUCCAGGAGGAGGAGAGAGGUAUCAGGAAUCUUCAGAUAAGCUGGAGUAUCUGAGGGCAGAGAGUCCUAUGUGAUCACCUUCUGCAAGCCCUCCCAGGUGGAGCCUGGGAGCAUGGAAGUCCUGUGGAGGGAGCCUGGGCAGAUUUUUGAGUUAGCCUCACAGUUUUCUAAGGCUCAGAGAUGAUGCAAGCAGUAGAGCAUUUCUCAUGUGGCAAAGAUUCAGUGACCCGAGUAAAUCAGUGAUGAGGAAAAAGAUGAGAGUGAGUAUUCCUUAACAGAUGAGACGUCAGUAUGAGUGAUGUCACCAGCGAUCAGCUAUGUCGCCCCUCCAAUCCACACUGUGAUACUAUGGACUCAAAUUUAGGUGUAACUCCAAGGAAGAGUGAUGAAUUCUGAGAUUAAGUCCCCAGAAUUUGGUGGAAUGGAACUCAAAAGAAAAACUAAACUCAGUUAUAGGAAAAAUAAUGUAAUUUAUUCAUUUAUUUCACACUAUGAUCUGUGGAGUGAAAUUUGUAUAUAUUCGCAUCCUCCACUGCCCCAUCCCCAAAUCCUACCUCUUAGUACAAUGGGCAUCCUGGCCUCUCCACGCCCUCCCCUUGCUCCAGAUCCUCUGGCCUGAGCAUUUUCUGAGUCCGCAGGUUCUUGUAUUGGAAGACGAGUGCAGACUGACCCAUUAGCCUGAGAUGGCAGGCUGCUUGCCCAUCCCAUGAUUUUUGUGGUCAGUUUAAAAUAAACUGGCACUUAAUAUACGGAAAAGAAAAAAAGUUCAGAGGAAGAGAAUAGUCACUAGGUUACUUCCAGUGUUGUGCUAGUGUUCAACACCACUAGUUAUUUAACAAAUAGCUCCCCAUAAAAACCAAAAGACCGGCCAGCCAGGUGGUGUAUAUAGUGGUUAGGUUCAAAAGCUCUGCUUUGGCAGCUUGGGGUUUGCAGUUUGGAUCCAGGUGUGGAACUAGCACCGCUUAUCUGGCCACAGGGUGUCCCACAUAGAAUAGAAGAAGAUUGGCACAGAUGUUAGCUCAGUGUAAUCUUCCUCAAGCAAAAAGAGGAGUAUUGGCAACAGAUGUUAGCUCAGGGCCAAUCUUCCUCAUGCACACACAAAAAAGACCAAAAUUUUAGCAUAUGCCAAUAUCCAUGGGAUGCUUUCAAGCUACCAGCUUAGGAUUUAAGUAGUAGAUGUAGAUCCAGAUGUAGGUGGAUGCACACGUGGAUGGUUGAAAGGAUGGGUGGUUGAUAGGUGAAUGAGUAAAUGCAUGAGUGGAUACACAGAUGUAGAGAUGGGUACCUAAAUGGAUGGACGAGUGGGAAGGUGGAUGGAUCAAGGUAUGGAGGGAAAGAUAGGUAGAUGGGUGGAUGGUUGGGCAGUUGGAUAAUUGACAUAAGAAUCCCUAGACUCUGUUCUUAAAGAACAAGCGACCUGGCUAAUUUUAAGCUACCAACUGUCACUGAAUGUGACAAUAGGAAGGAGAUGCACAAAAUCAUCUCUUACAAGUUGAUACCUGCCAGUUCCAGCCAAUCACUAACUAUUGUCCAUAUGUACAUGAAAAGGAUAGCUUCCUUUCUCAAUGAUUGACAGGUCCAAAUGUAGAGCUCUGCUAGUUUCACCGAGGGAUGUAGACCAUUUCUGAAGCAAAGGAAGAGUCCAAUCUAGAGAGUUAUUUUUUAUAGGAACAAUAUCCUUGCAAGUAGGUGCGUUUCAGGCACAGUCUUUCUCAUCUGGAGGAUGACUAUGAAUUUUAUUUUCCUUCGUCCUUGUUCAGAAACCGCAUUCAGUAACAACUUUAUUUUGGCAGAUUUCAGGGAGAAAGUGUAAAGAAGAUUGACUCUGACAGGGUCUGUCCUCAGAGUCGACAUAACUGGAACAUGCACAGAAAUCACAAGGUCACAAAAUUAGAAAACCAGAAGAAUCAGAAGACAAAUCCAUAUUCUUGGAUCCAAAGUUUAAAUCUCUGCUGACUACUGGGGGCUGGCCCAGUGGUGUAGUGGUUAAGUUCAUGCAGUCUGCUUGGGAAGCCUGGAGUUUGCAGGUUCGAAUCCCAGGGUGCAGAGUGACGCGGAGGAAAUGAACACCUGGUGCCUAGAAGCAACAUCUAACCCGGAUCUCAGGCAUGGCUUUUACGGUGGUUCUUGGGGAGGUGCAACAUCUUCUGUGAGUUUUGAAAAAAGGUAAAUGCUUGGGAGUUCAGGAGGUAGAAAAGGAAGUGGAGACGUUUCAGGCAGAGCAAAAAUAAUCAUGAAAUCAUGAAGACAUGAAGAAGCCGAGAGCGGAGUUGGGAAGCAGGAAGGAGUUCCCUGUGGCUGGGGGACAGGGUACCUGAAUGGUGUAAAUGGUUGGGGAUAGCUGCCAGGUGGGGACACAGAGGGUGUUGCAUGUUGUUCUACAAAGCUUGAUAUUAUCCCUUAAGAAGCACAGAGCCCGCUGAGGUCUUCAAGCAGAGGAGGGAUAUAAUCAAAUAAAUUUUUUAGGAGUCUGGUGUGGAGAAUGAGCUCAAACAGAAAAAGACUGAUGUUAGGGUUUUCAGUUAGGAAUCCAGGUAAUAGUCCAAAUAGGAGAUGGUGAGGUCCUGGAUGAAGAGCACAGGAGAAAGGGAGAGAAAGAGUCCAUCAGAAGGACUGGUCUAGAAUCCGUGGAGCUUCCUGAGCAGGUGGGUGGCUGGUCGGGAUCCAGAAAGGUCACAGAGGGCUCCCGCCAGUUCUGGGUGGCGGGAUGCAUAGUGCCACCACGAAACAAGGUGUUAUCUCUAUACUGUGCUGGUUUCAGGACCCAGAAACCGAGAAGACAGGAUCGAUUAUUUUCAUCAUGUAACUACUCAUCAAGAAUAUUAUGCAAUUCGUUUGCUAAAGUUUCCUUGUUUUCUUUGACUUCAUAUAAAGAGGAUCCAAGCAUUUAAAUCCGGACUUUAAUCACCAUGAACUGGGUUUGAGUCAAAGAUUCCACGUAGACAUGUUCUGAGAUUAAGAUGAUUUAUACUAUUGCACUGUGCCUAGGAAGAAGGACC
ensembl:lncRNA